UACGUAGGAUGCAAGCGUUGUCCGGAGUUAUUGGGCGUAAAGCGCACGUAGGCGGUGCGGUAAGUGUGGUGUGAAAUCUGCGGGCUUAACCCGCAGCGGUCGCUGCAGACUGCCGUGCUUGAGGGCUGGAGAGGAAGAUAGAAUUCCCGGUGUAGUGGUGAAAUGCGUAGAUAUCGGGAGGAAUACCAGUCGCGAAGGCGGUCUUCUGGCCAGUUCCUGACGCUGAGGUGCGAAAGCUAGGGGAGCGAACGGG
rnacentral:rRNA from 1 species